AUUGAACGCUGGCGGCAGGCUUAACACAUGCAAGUCGAGCGGGGUGAUGGUGCUUGCACUAUCACUUAGCGGCGGACGGGUGAGUAAUGCUUAGGAAUCUGCCUAUUAGUGGGGGACAACAUCUCGAAAGGGAUGCUAAUACCGCAUACGUCCUACGGGAGAAAGCAGGGGAUCACUUGUGACCUUGCGCUAAUAGAUGAGCCUAAGUCGGAUUAGCUAGUUGGUGGGGUAAAGGCCUACCAAGGCGACGAUCUGUAGCGGGUCUGAGAGGAUGAUCCGCCACACUGGGACUGGAACCCGGCCCAGACUCCUACGGGAGGCAGCAGUGGGGAAUAUUGGACAAUGGGGGGAACCCUGAUCCAGCCAUGCCGCGUGUGUGAAGAAGGCCUUAUGGUUGUAAAGCACUUUAAGCGAGGAGGAGGCUCUUUUGGUUAAUACCCAAGAUGAGUGGACGUUACUCGCAGAAUAAGCACCGGCUAACUCUGUGCCAGCCGCCGCGGUAA
rnacentral:rRNA from 1 species